AUUGAACGCUGGCGGCAUGCUUUACACAUGCAAGUCGAACGGUAACAGGGUGCUUGCACCGCUGACGAGUGGCGAACGGGUGAGUAAUGCGUCGGAACGUGCCGAGUAGUGGGGGAUAACGCAGCGAAAGUUGUGCUGAUACCGCAUACGUACUGAGGUAGAAAGUGGGGGACCUUCGGGCCUCACGCUAUUCGAGCGGCCGACGUCUGAUUAGCUAGUAGGUGAGGUAAAGGCUCACCUAGGCGACGAUCAGUAGCGGGUCUGAGAGGAUGAUCCGCCACACUGGGACUGAGACACGGCCAAGACUGCUACGGGAGGCAGCAGUGGGGAAUUUUGGACAAUGGGCGAAAGCCUGAUCCAGCCAUGCCGCGUGUCUGAAGAAGGCCUUCGGGUUGUAAAGGACUUUUGUCAGGGAGGAAAUCCCUAGCGUUAAUACCGCUGGGGGAUGACAGUACCUGAAGAAUAAGCACCGGCUAACUACGUGCCAGCCGCCGCAGUAAGAC
rnacentral:rRNA from 1 species